ACGGGAGGCAGCAGUGGGGAAUAUUGCACAAUGGGGGAAACCCUGAUGCAGCGACGCCGCGUGAGUGAAGAAGUAUUUCGGUAUGUAAAGCUCUAUCAGCAAGGAAGAUAAUGACGGUACUUGACUAAGAAGCCCCGGCUAACUACGUGCCAGCAGCCGCGGUAAUACGUAGGGGGCAAGCGUUAUCCGGAUUUACUGGGUGUAAAGGGAGCGUAGACGGUUUGGCAAGUCUGAAGUGAAAGCCCGGGGCUCAACCCCGGUAUUGCUUUGGAAACUGUUGAACUAGAGUGCAGGAGGGGUAAGCGGAAUUCCUAGUGUAGCGGUGAAAUGCGUAGAUAUUAGGAGGAACACCGGUGGCGAAGGCGGCUUACUGGACUGUAACUGACGUUGAGGCUCGAAAGCGUGGGGAGCAAACAGGAUUAGAUACCCUGGUA
rnacentral:rRNA from 1 species